ACCAAUGGUCAUCAAACUGUUUUAGCUAUGAAAACCUUUCUCAAAAUAUGUUACAUACAAGUCUAAUAUAUGAAGCAGGGAAUUGCUGACCUUUCACUCUGGGUAAAACAGAAGAGCUCUAGACUCUCAAAGAGCCUUAAUUUUCAUUGAUAAGAGCUAAUUAAAAAGAUACUAGAAAUUCUGAGGAUUAUAAGGCAUUAUAGUCCUUCAACAUACUUUCUUGUUCUAAGUGAGGACCUAUGAAAAGAUCUAUUAUGUAACAGUAAUCAGGAUAGACUUAUUCACUGAUCACAUGGAGCUCACAGUCUAGCAAAGAAGAUUAACCCAGCUCUGGAGAGUGACAGACCAGAGUGGCCAGGAUUCUGAUGUAAACAGGAUACAUGUUGAAGGUGAGGAUGGAAGAAGAGGGCCCCAGGUGGUUUGGGGCAACACCAGAUGGUAUGAGGGGAGGUAUGAGGUGAAGUUCUGUUUGUCUGAAGAAUGAUGUAACAGGCAUGUUGCGAAGCCUUAAAGGGCCUUGGGACGAUGGUUCCAGGUGGGAACAGCAAGUUGCUUGUCCGGAUGAACUGAUCUUUCAGCCAGACUUUCCUAGAACUGGCAUUCUCUUAAGGGGAGGGAGGAACAAGAAACUUGGCUCUGAAGUGCAUCUUAAGAGAUAAAUAAGACAGACCUCAAUUGGCAUUGUAUUGGAAGGAACUUGCAUGCAGCUUACAGCAUUGAAAGACGUCCCAGUUUUCCAGCUGUGGACCUGGCAAGGUGUUUUGGUUCCUGACCUUCCCAGUGUUGUCUUCCCACAGUUUGAAAGACUGCAAUUGAACAUCUAGAAGACAAAAAUCGUGACCACAGAAGAAAUACACAACUUUAACAUGAACAAUGAAAACAUCAAAGAUUUUUGCUUACAUAGGCUCAGUCUCAAUUCAAAUGGAGAUGGCAGCUGAGAGAUCAAGAGAAGGCUGAGACCCGGAAUGGGAAGCAUUAGGAAAAAUCACCAAAAGCAAAGAUAUGUCAUUAAAGACCAAAGUUAAGAUCAUCUAUACUCUCAUAUUCCCAACUAUUAUGUAUGGAUGUGAAAGUAGGACA